AAAUGACUCUCGGCAACGGAUAUCUCGGCUCUCGUAUCGAUGAAGAACGUAGCGAAAUGCGAUACUUGGUGUGAAUUGCAGAAUCCCGUGAACCAUCGAGUCUUUGAACGCAAGUUGCGCCCGAAGUCUUAUGGCUAAGGGCACGUCUGCCUGGGCGUCACACAU
rnacentral:rRNA from 1 species